GCAAGUUCUGCCUCUGCUUGGAACCAUCAGCAUGGACGGGGUCCACUGCCUGCAGUUUGUCCAACAGAGCCCUCUCGUCGGCCGGGAGGCCAGGAACCCUCUUCGUCCAGGUGCCGGAGAAGCUCUCCAUCUAUGCAGCAUCCUCUUGAGAAGAGUCAGCUGGGGCUCCCAUCAGGAAGGGAGCUUCUGAGCCAGCAAGACGGCAAACACCUCUGAUGGUGCCCGGGACAACAGUGUGUUCGGUGACUGGGAAUGCCGAUGAAUGACUGAAUGGAUGGCCUUCUUAGACAGCCAGACUUCCCGUCGCUGAGACCUCCGACACUUUCUGAAAAGCCCUCGAGGCUGUGAGCAGCCCUUUCACACUGAGUUGAACACAGAGGACUUCAAAGAUCCUGAGGACCUAGAAGAAGGUGGAGCCACAAGAUGGAAGGAGCCUGGGGUCCCCAGCGGGAGCAGAGCCGUUCCCAUCGCUGACCACGAUGCACUACCGCAUGAUGGAAGUUAUCCCUGACCGAUACGGAGGCAUUUAUGCACUAAGCAUGUUCCAAGGAGGCGCCUUAGAAGGGGGCAUGGUCAUCAUACCUUCCUUUGUCACCCAGUGUCUGAAUGCCCAUCCCAUGGCAUUUGUCACCAGGGAUACAGCGGUGAGAUGGGCCUCGUGCUCAUGGAGCUUACAGAGCCUGGCAGGCCAGCCCCUGCAGGGCUUCUCGGCUUCCCAGUCUACGUCAUCAUGGAAGGGGGCCCCUUAAAAGGAACUAACACCAGACAAUUAAAUGUUGAGGUGUUGAUAGAUAAAGCUGUGUUUCGAUUUGCAUAAACAUGAUGCCAGCAAAUCUAACCCUGGCAGAAAUUCAGUUAUGAGACUUGCGCGCCUAACUUCUGCUAAUUACCAUGAGAAGAUACUGCAGCUUGCAACUCUGCAGAUACCAGCAGAGGAAGAAAAACAUGGGAGACUGCUGAUAACCUAAUGUGGAGAAUUAAACUCCAACUAGACAAAGGCGAGGGUGGAAUCUUAAUAUGGAGUGGCCUGGCUCUGCAGGGAGGUCACUUGGGCUGGCUGGAUUUCAACCCAAUAACACGGCAGAAGUUAUGACCCAGGUUUUGUUGAGGGUGAGUCUUCUAAUCUCAGGAAUUCCAAAGCCAAGCAUGUGUUAAACAUUGCAUUGUUUACCGUCUUCCUGGUGAGUAUCUCAAUCUGCAAUGAUCUUUUCUGUUAGUUGACAUUUUAUCUGCGGCCCCUGUUGUGCUAUGUAGCUCCAGCGCAUAGCACAGUGCCUGGCUCCUAGUUAGGUGUUCAAUAAAUAGGUGCUGACUUUGACGAAGACCGAGAUCCCGAGGCUUCUCCCCAGUGCGAGGGAGAGCCUGAUGGUAAGAACCAGUCCCUCUGAUGCCACGUAAGUGAACAGAGCAGGAACCAGAUUAUCUGGAUGACUGUUGCUCUAAUCAGGAAGCUAGCUGUGAGGCCUGCUGGUUAAGAAUCCUGGCAAGUGAGACAGACAGACAGAACUGGGGCUGAGUCCUGGCUUUGCUGUUUGUUUGCUAGCCGCUGUACCCUUGGACCGGUUAUUUAGUGUCCCAGAGCCUCUGUUUCCUCAUCUGAAAAAGGGAGAUAAUAACACCUGCUCCCACAGGGCUCUUGAAAGUAAGAUAAUACAAGUAAAGCAUUUAACGUAGUCCUCUCAUCAUAAAAGUCCUCAAUAAAUGUUAUAUAUUGGUUUUUAAAGCUGUAACUUGUGGGUAAGUUACCUAGUCUGGGGAAGCUAGAGUUGGUUAAAACUUCCUGCUGCAGUUUGCUUGUUACUUCCUCUUAGGAAGCCUUCCCUGAUGCCUGCAGGCUGGAUAGUAGCGCCUCCUCCAUGAUCCCACCAAGCCCUGGAUGUUCCUCUCUCUUCUCACUUAACCCAUCGGAUUAUCCUGAGGUUUAUACAUUCUACUGGACUGUCCACUCCUGGAGCGUAAACAGCACAUUAUAAAACUUUCAGUAUUUAGCAAACCAAAACCACACAGUAGCCAUGGGCACCAAUUCAUUUGUUGAGCUGGGCAAACAAACAGUGAAAGCUGACAGAGAAGAUAGUGAGUGUGAAAAGAAGACCAGAGGGAUCUCUGCUUAUAGCGUAAGGCGCCACUCGAUGGAGUUCAGGCCAUUCUCCAUGGGCAGAGAGAUGUUGCAGCGCCCAAUGGUGGGGGUGAUGGUGCCCGCUAGGACGUGGG